GACGAACGCUGGCGGCGCGCCUAACACAUGCAAGUCGAGCGAUGAAAUUUUAACCGAUCUCUUCGGAGAGAAGAUAAAAUGGAUUAGCGGCGGACGGGUGAGUAACACGUGAGAAACCUGCCUUUCACAAGGGGAUAGCCUCGGGAAACCGGGAUUAAUACCCUAUGACACAUUUCCUUCGCAUGGAAGAAAUGUUAAAACUCCGGUGGUGAAAGAUGGUCUCGCGCCUGAUUAGCUAGUUGGUGGGGUAACGGCCCACCAAGGCCAUGAUCAGUAACCGGCCUGAGAGGGUGAACGGUCACAUUGGAACUGAGACACGGUCCAAACUCCUACGGGAGGCAGCAGUGGGGAAUAUUGCACGAUGGAGGAAACUCUGAUGCAGCGACGCCGCGUGAGCGAUGAAGGCUUUCGAGUCGUAAAGCUCUGUCCUAUGGGAAGAUAAUGACGGUACCAUAGGAGGAAGCCCCGGCUAACUACGUG
rnacentral:rRNA from 1 species